rnacentral:rRNA from 1 species
UACGGAGGGUGCAAGCGUUAAUCGGAAUUACUGGGCGUAAAGCGUGCGCAGGCGGUUUGUUAAGUCCGCUGUGAAAUCCCCGAGCCUCAACUUGGGAAUUGGCAGUGGAUACUUGGCAAGCUGGAGUAUGGUAGGGGAAGGUGGAAUUCCCGGUGGUAGCAGUGAAAUGCGUAGAGAUCGGGAGGAACACCAGUGGCGAAGGCGG